rnacentral:siRNA from 1 species
CCCUAUAUAAGGGAGGGCGUCC